rnacentral:rRNA from 1 species
UAGAGUUUGAUCAUGGCUCAGGACGAACGCUGGCGGCGCGCCUAAUACAUGCAAGUCGAACGAGUACGCACUUCGGUGCAAUGUACGAGUGGCGAACGGGUGAGUAACACGUGAGAAACCUGCCUCGGAGACCGGGACAACCAUUGGAAACGAUGGCUAAUACCGGAUGUCCUUACUUGGUCGCAUGAUCGGGUAAGGAAAUGAUCCGUCGCUCCGGGAGGGUCUCGCGGCCUAUCAGCUAGUUGGUGAGGUAAUGGCUCACCAAGGCAUCGACGGGUAGCUGGUCUGAGAGGACGAUCAGCCACACUGGGACUGAGACACGGCCCAGACUCCUACGGGAGGCAGCAGUAGGGAAUCUUGCACAAUGGGCGAAAGCCUGAUGCAGCGACGCCGCGUGGGGGAUGAAGGCCUUCGGGUUGUAAACCCCUUUCAGUAGGGACGAAAAUGACGGUACCUACAGAAGAAGCUCCGGCCAACUACGUGCCAGCAGCCGCGGUAACACGUAGGGAGCAAGCGUUGUCCGGAUUUAUUGGGCGUAAAGAGCUCGUAGGUGGUUCGGUAAGUCGGAUGUGAAAACUCAAGGCUCAACCUUGAGACGCCAUCCGAUACUGCUGUGACUUGAGUUCUGUAGAGGGGGGUAGAAUUUCA